rnacentral:rRNA from 1 species
AGUGAACGCUGGCGGUAGGCCUAACACAUGCAAGUCGAACGGCAGCACAGUAAGAGCUUGCUCUUACGGGUGGCGAGUGGCGGACGGGUGAGGAAUACAUCGGAAUCUACUUUUUCGUGGGGGAUAACGUAGGGAAACUUACGCUAAUACCGCAUACGACCUACGGGUGAAAGCAGGGGUUCUUCGGACCUUGCGCGACUGAAUUAGCCGAUGUCGGAUUAGCUAGUUGGCGGGGUAAAGGCCCACCAAGGCGACGAUCCGUAGCUGGUCUGAGAGGAUGAUCAGCCACACUGGAACUGAGACACGGUCCAGACUCCUACGGGAGGCAGCAGUGGGGAAUAUUGGGCAAUGGGCGCAAGCCUGAUCCAGCCAUACCGCGUGGGUGAAGAAGGCCUUCGGGUUGUAAAGCCCUUUUGUUGGGAAAGAAAAGCAGCAGGUUAAUACCCCGCUGUUCUGACGGUACCCAAAGAAUAAGCACCGGCUAACUUCGUG